AUGGAGGGGCUACGCAUGUUUCUGGUCGUUCUCUUAGGAGUUGUUUCUUACAGUCAUGGUUGGAUUUCUGGACCAGUGUUGGAGGUGACAGUAAGACCAGGAGACAACAUCACUCUCUACUGUGACUGCAAAUUAUCAAGUGGAGUAUACAUAGUGUGGUACAGAAACUGCUCUCACGAGAACCAGCCUUCUCUUGUCCUUGAAUUAAAAGCUAAUUCACAUGUGUUCACCGUUCUCCCUGGUUUUCAAUUUGUGAGAAACUAUUCCUCUGCCUCCUAUGACCUCUUGAUCAUGAACGUCACUGAUGCAGAUGAGGGUCUCUACUACUGUGGAACUAAACAGAUCAAGGUGGAGGACAAAGAAUUCAUCACUCCCAGAUAUGAUUACAGAUAUGGCAACGUCACAACAAGGAUCGGGAUCAUAGUCAAUUCCAGCCUUGACUCCAGUGGGUGCAUCUCAAGUCUUGUGCCUUCUGUGUCCUGGGUGAUGGUGUUCACUCCAGCCCUCAUGAUCCUCUCCUCCUUCCUCUCCUUUAUUCUGAUUCAUCACUUCUGUCAGAAAGCAGACAAGGAACGUCAAAUUCUCCAGAAAAGACCUGACGCCUGGGCACAAACAAGUUGGAAUAAGGAUGAAGAUGUGUAUUCAACACAAGUUGUGUUUCGGGCUAAGGAAGAAUAA
rnacentral:lncRNA from 1 species